rnacentral:misc_RNA from 1 species
GCAAACUUGGUCAUUUAGAGGAAGUAAAAGUCGUAACAAGGUUUCCGUAGGUGAACCUGCGGAAGGAUCAUUAACAAAUCCUGUUGUUGGUGCAUGCAAUGAUUAUGUUGUUGCAUGGUCAACACAUUAGCGCCGCAGCCGCAAGGCUGCGUGAGCAGCGGGGAUGUGGGUUGUAUGGGUGCGCGAUAUACAAUACAGCAAUGUAUAGCAAUAUAUAUGUGUUGUUGGCAGUCAUGCCUAUAUUGCUGCCCAUUCUUCACCUAUCCCCGUCGUAUAUCUAUUAUAUACAUUUUAACGUCUGUCCGAACGUGACCAAACAGAAACAAACUUUUAACAAUGGAUCUCUAGGCUCCUGCAUCGAUGAAGAACGCAGC